UCACAUGUAUUUGAUUUUGGCUCAAAGUCUUUUUAUUGGUAUUUAUGCAGAGACUAUACAGAAAAUAUGUUACAGACAUGAGUCAAUACAAACAAGAACAAUCCCCGCCCAUGCUCCAACUGAGCCCCGCCCCUAAAAAA